UUCGCAAUGCCCGAAAGGGUGACGAAGCGACGCCGCGUGCGGGAAGAAGGCCUUCGGGUUGUAAACCGCUGUCGGGAGUUAAGAAAUGUAAGGAUGUUAAUAGCAUCUUUGCUUGACUAAGGCUCCGGAGGAAGCCACGGCUAACUCUGUGCCAGCAGCCGCGGUAAUACAGAGGCGGCAAGCGUUGUUCGGAAUUAUUGGGCGUAAAGAGCACGUAGGCGGCUAUGUAAGUCGGUUGUGAAAGCCUUCCGCUCAACGGGAGAACAGCAUCCGAUACUGCAUGGCUUGAGUGCGGGAGGGGAGAGUGGAACUUCUGGUGGAGCGGUGAAAUGCGUAGAUAUCAGAAGGAACGCCGGCGGCGAAAGCGGCUCUCUGGCCCGUAACUGACGCUGAGUGUGCGAAAGCUAGGGGAGCAAACGGGAUUAGAUACCCCGGUAGUCCUAGCCGUAAACGAUGGGCACUAAGUAGAGGGGUUUU
rnacentral:rRNA from 2 species